rnacentral:rRNA from 1 species
UACGAAGGGGGCUAGCGUUGCUCGGAAUCACUGGGCGUAAAGCGCACGUAGGCGGACUCUUAAGUCGGUGGUGAAAUCCUGGAGCUCAACUCCAGAACUGCCUUUGAUACUGGCGAUCUUGAGUCCGGGAGAGGUGAGUGGAACUGCGAGUGUAGAGGUGAAAUUCGUAGAUAUUCGCAAGAACACCAGUGGCGAAGGCGGCUCACUGGCCCGGUACUGACGCUGAGGUGCGAAAAGCGUGGGGGAGCAAACAGG